rnacentral:rRNA from 1 species
GAGUUUGAUCCUGGCUCAGGAUGAACGCUGGCGGCGUGCUUAACACAUGCAAGUCGAACGAAGAAGUUUUAGUUUACUAGAACAACUGAGUGGCGGACGGGUGAGUAACGCGUGGGUAACCUGCCCUAUGGAGGGGGACAACAGUGGGAAACCGCUGCUAAUACCGCAUAGCUUAUUAAGACUGCAUGGUCAUAAUAAGAAAGAGCUAUCGCCAUAGGAUGGGCCCGCGUCUGAUUAGCCAGUUGGUAGGGUAAAAGCCCACCAAAGCAACGAUCAGUAGCCGGCCUGAGAGGGUGAACGGCCACAUUGGGACUGAGACACGGCCCAGACUCCUACGGGAGGCAGCAGUGGGGAAUAUUGCACAAUGGGGGAAACCCUGAUGCAGCAACGCCGCGUGAGUGAAGAAGUCAUUCGUGAUGUAAAGCUCUAUCAGCAGGGAAGAAAAUGACGGUACCUGAGUAAGAAGCCCCGGCUAACUACGUGCCAGCAGCCGCGGUAAUACGUAGGGGGCAAGCGUUAUCCGGAUUUACUGGGUGUAAAGGGAGCGUAGACGGCCAGACAAGUCUGAAGUGAAAAUCCAGCGCUUAACGUUGGAAGUGCGUUGGAAACUGCCGGGCUGGAGUGCAGGAGGGGCAGGCGGAAUUCCUAGUGUAGCGGUGAAAUGCGUAGAUAUUAGGAGGAACACCAGUGGCGAAGGCGGCCUGCUGGACUGCAACUGACGUUGAGGCUCGAAG